rnacentral:rRNA from 1 species
ACCAGACUCCUACGGGAGGCAGCAGUGGGGAAUAUUGCACAAUGGGGGAAACCCUGAUGCAGCGACGCCGCGUGAGUGAAGAAGUAUUUCGGUAUGUAAAGCUCUAUCAGCAGGAACGAGACAAGACGGUACCUGACUAAGAAGCCCCGGCUAACUACGUGCCAGCAGCCGCGGUAAUACGUAGGGGGCAAGCGUUAUCCGGAAUCACUGGGUGUAAAGGGAGCGUAGACGGCUGAGCAAGCCUGAAGUGAAAGGCGGGGGCCCAACCCCUGGACUGCUUUGGGAACUGUACGGCUGGAGUGCAGGAGAGGUAAGUGGAAUUCCUAGUGUAGCGGUGAAAUGCGUAGAUAUUAGGAGGAACACCAGUGGCGAAGGCGGCUUACUGGACUGUAACUGACGUUGAGGCUCGAAAGCGUGGGGAGCAAACAGGAUUAGAUACCCGCGUA